AACGCUGGAGAACCUCGCUGCCGUCACCGGAGAACUCUUCCGUUGAUCCACCGGAGAUUCUGGCCGCCGCCGGAGCUGUUGUCGGGGCCGGUUCGAAAAUCGUAGCUGCCUCAUUGUAUUAUUUCGUGUUGCGAUGGUUAUUGCGAAAGUGGCUGGGAGCUGAGGUUUUAGUUGCCGGUGAUUUUGAAUUGAGGCGGAAAGGACUCUGUGAGACGUUUGGGUUAUGGAAUUGCGUUUUGAGGAUUUGGGCACAGAAGUUAUGAAGAAUUUAAUUAUUUGUUAUUGAGAUGCUCUGUAUUGCUUUAUAUUAUUAUUUUUGUACCCUCGCCUUUAUCUUGAUAUAUUCUGUGAGAGGGAUAGGAAUUGUACUGGAUAAUGUUUGUAAUAUUAUUUAUAUAUAUGUAUGUAUAUAUAUAUGGAUGUACUCUUUAUGAGUUUCUGUAAGUUGUAUGGUAUGUAUGGGCGUACGUUGUAUGGCGAAAGUAUUUUUUGGGAAUGGUAUUGCGGUUUAAAGUUUUUAAACA